AGUGAACGCUGGCGGCAGGCCUAACACAUGCAAGUCGAACGGCAGCACAGUAAGAGCUUGCUCUUACGGGUGGCGAGUGGCGGACGGGUGAGGAAUACAUCGGAAUCUACUUUUUCGUGGGGGAUAACGUAGGGAAACUUACGCUAAUACCGCAUACGACCUACGGGUGAAAGCAGGGGAUCUUCGCACCUUGCGCGAUUGAAUGAGCCGAUGUCGGGUUAGCUAGUUGGCGGGGUAAAGGCCCACCAAGGCGACGAUCCGUAGCUGGUCUGAGAGGAUGGUCAGCCACACUGGAGCUGAGACACGGUCCAGACGCCUACGGGAGGCAGCAGUGGGGAAUAUUGGACAGAGGGCGCAAGCCUGAUCCAGCCAUACCGCGUGUGUGAAGAAGGCCUUCGGGUUGUAAAGCCCGUUUGUGGGGAAAGAAAAGCAGCAGGUUAAUACCCCGCUGUUCUGACGGUACCCAAAGAAUAAGCACCGGCUAACUUCGUG
rnacentral:rRNA from 1 species